CUAAGCCACUUUCACUUGGUGAUGCUAUGGGGGUCUGAUCUUUGGAGAAAAGGAGGUGAGAACACAGACAGCACAGACCGGGAGGCCCUGGGUGCGUGUGUGCAGAGAGCGUCAGUCACAAGGAGAGGCAGCAAGAGAGUGUCCGCCAGCGGCCACGAGAAAUUCAGAGGAAACCACCCUGCUGGCGCUUUGAUCUUGGAUUCCAGCAUCAAGAAGUCUCAUCACAGAGAUCCCUCAUAGUCCAUGGCACUAGCCAUCAAAAGGAGCAGCAGGAGUCAUCUUUCUGACACAGGGAAAUAUGACCCUCCAUUUGGUUGAAUUGUAGGAGCAAAAAUCAAAAUAGACAAAGUC